rnacentral:tRNA from 1 species
GGAGAGGUGCCAGAGUGGUUUAUUGGGGCGGUCUCGAAAACCGUUGUAGCCUUGCGGCUACCGAGGGUUCGAAUCCCUCCCUCUCCG